GUGUUAUGUCAUUCAUACAAUUGGAAAGCAUAGUGGAUGACAAAUGAAAAGUUACUAAAACUAUGAUCAAUUCCAAAACGUUUGAUAAAAAUUGCUUCAAACACAUUUAAUUUAUUGGAAUUUAUAGGAUUACUAAGUGUGGAGCUAGUAAAUUUGUUAAAAAGUCAAUUACUUCCUAACAUGGAUGAGUAUUUCAAAACUUACAGUGUGGUUAUGCUACUAAGUUAAAAGAUUAAUAUAUUUAUAUAUAUAUUAAUAUAUAUUUUAGGAUUUUUACAGAUGUGUACCAGAUGUCCCAGUGAUUUUGGAGAGAUAGUUGCUUCUUUUUCUUGCCCUAUGUAUGGUCACUGACAUUGAAAAACCCUUAAAUCGCCACUAGGGGGCUUUGUUUCUCAGUGAAACGUUUCUGUGGCCUGGCAUGACAGGUUGCUUUAUGGAAGCCCAUUUCCGCCAUGAAAGAAAAAAUAAAAGACCAGCAGGAGUCAUAAUUAAGUCAUAAUUUCGACUUUCAAAGUCAUAGUUUCAACUUUCAAAGUCAUAAUUAUGAGAUUCAAAUUCAUAAUUAUGAGAUUCAAAGUCAUAAUUUCGACUUUCAAAGUCAUAAUUUCAACUUUCAAAGUCAUAAUUAUGAGAUUCAAAGUCAUAAUUUCGACUUUCAAAGUCAUAAUUAUGAGAUACCGGAGCAGUUAGAGACAACCCCACCAGAAAAACAGCAUGCUCCAGCAUCCAGUUAAAUAUGAUCCUAAAUCCAAGGAUACCUACAGGGGCUAAACAGACAGACAGAGGAGGUUCCUUUGACCUGAACCUAAACCUAAACAGAGGAUGGAUGAGAUAUAUGACUUCUUAAAAUCACGGGAUGUUUCAGAGGAAGUCAUACAACGACUGGAAAAGGAUAAGAUUGACUUCAGUGUCCUUCUGCUCAUGACAGAUGAGCAGCUUAAGGAUUAUCUCCCAUCAUAUGGUGAUCGACUUGCACUUCUUGGAUAUUGCAGACGGAGGGAAAAUGAUCCUGCUGGCCGGAAAUAAAAACUUUUUGACCGAUUGAGAGCCAAGAUUUCAAGGAACAAAGGCAACG